rnacentral:lncRNA from 13 species
UAUGAUCUCAACCAAGUUUUAAGUUCUAUUUAUGGUGAGCCCUGUGAAUGCAAAGGAGGGAUUAUACUCUCUAUGCCCUCAUCCUUCGUAAGUCAAGUUGAUUGUGGAACAAAGACAGCAUACCUUACUCAUGGCAAUGGCCACAAACCGCGCUAUAAAUGCGCUAACAAACCCACCAUAGCAAUAACUUCCCCAGGGUCUCCACAACCAGCCUGUAACUGUUCCACUCCCAGUUCCACUUCCACAGAAAUUCACCGAUCGGUCCACAGCAGCUGCUAUAAAACUUACACCACUUGCAUAAGGAAUAAAAAAACCUAUUUUACAGCCUGGAUCGAUGGCAAACAUGAUGGCUCGUUUGGAGGUGACUGGGCCUCUACUUCCCCAUUAGGCACUACCUACAAAUAUGCCAUUGCUCCUUGCCCGACUUCUGGAAAAAUGGCAUGUUGGGAAAGCAGCCCAAGCAUUGGUCUCAGUGAUGGAGGAGGCCCACAUGACCAAAUGAGAUCCCACCAUGUCAAAGAGGUCUUAAAAGCCUUGUUUCCCACUAUAUCUUACCACCCCAUAGCCCUACCCAAGUCUCGACAGAUAGACCUGGAUGUUCAAACCCAAAAACUCCUCAAAGCAGUCCAUAGUUUCCUCCUACACAGUAAUUCCUCAUUGGCUAACAACUGCUGGAUCUGUAUGCCUUUAGGUACACCUAUGCCUUUAGCUCUACCCAUGACCCCUGACUUCAGCACAAAUGGAACUCUCCGUCUUCCUUUCGCUGUACAACCCUUGUCAAACCUCUGUAUUAAUGUCACUUGCUAUCAAAAGCCCCUCAUGAAUAAUUCCUAUGACAUUGACUUAGGUUCAAUCACGAGUUCCUGUAAUUGUUCCAAAUUUGUAAAUAGCAACUCCAGCAUGUAUGCCCCUGCUGGACAAAGCUUUGUCUGCGGGAGCAACAUGGCCUUCUCUUAUCUACCUCAAAACUGGACAGGAAUAUGUAUGGUGGCCUCCUUGUUU